GGGGGGUAGCAAUACCAACCGGCGAACGGGUGCGGAACACGUGAGCAAUCUGCCGAUUACUGGGGGAUAGCCGGCCCAACGGCCGGGUAAUACCGCAUACGCUCAUUGGGGGACAUCCCCCGAUGAGGAAACCUCCGGGGGUAAUCGAGGAGCUCGCGUCUUAUCAGCUAGUUGGCGGGGUAACGGCCCACCAAGGCUACGACGGGUAGCUGGUCUGAGAGGAUGGCCAGCCACAUUGGGACUGCGACACGGCCCAGACUCCUACGGGAGGCAGCAGUGGGGAAUAUUGCGCAAUGGACGAAAGUCUGACGCAGCGACGCCGCGUGUGGGAUGAAGCUCUUCGGGGUGUAAACCACUGUUGCCCGGGACGAACUUCUGGCAUUAGCCAGAUUGACGGUACCGGGUGAGGAAGCACCGGCUAACUCUGUGCCAGCAGCCGCGGUAAUACAGAGGGUGCGAGCGUUGUCCGGAAUCACUGGGCGUAAAGGGCGCGUAGGUGGCUUGUUAAGCGUGUGGUGAAAGCCUGGGGCUCAACCCCAGGUCUGCCGUGCGUACUGGCAAGCUUGAGAUUAGUAGAGGCGGGUGGAAUUUCGGGUGUAGCGGUGGAAUGCGUAGAUAUCCGAAAGAACACCGGUGGCGAAGGCGGCCCGCUGGGCUAUUUCUGACACUGAGGCGCGACAGCGUGGGGAGCAAACAGGAUUAGAUACCCUGGUAGUCCACGCCGUAAACGAUGGGUACUAGGCGUCUGGGGGAGCGACCC
rnacentral:rRNA from 1 species